AUAAGCGCCGGUAAGGUGAUAUGAACCGUUAUAACCGGCGAUACCCGAAUGGGGAAACCCAGUGUGAUUCGUCACACUAUCAUUAACUGAAUCCAUAGGUUAAUGAGGCGAACCGGGGGAACUGAAACAUCUAAGUACCCCGAGGAAAAGAAAUCAACCGAGAUUCCCCCAGUAGCGGCGAGCGAACGGGGAGGAGCCCAGAGCCUGAAUCAGCAUGUGUGUUAGUGGAAGCGUCUGGAAAGGCGCGCGAUACAGGGUGACAGCCCCGUACACAAAAGCGCAUGUGCUGUGAGCUCGAUGAGUAGGGCGGGACACGUGGUAUCCUGUCUGAAUAUGGGGGGACCAUCCUCCAAGGCUAAAUACUCCUGACUGACCGAUAGUGAACCAGUACCGUGAGGGAAAGGCGAAAAGAACCCCGGCGAGGGGAGUGAAAAAGAACCUGAAACCGUGUACGUACAAGCAGUGGGAGCACAGGUUUACCUGUGUGACUGCGUACCUUUUGUAUAAUGGGUCAGCGACUUAUAUUCUGUAGCAAGGUUAACCGAAUAGGGGAGCCGGAGGGAAACCGAGUCUUAAUUGGGCGUUAAGUUGCAGGGUAUAGACCCGAAACCCGGUGAUCUAGCCAUGGGCAGGUUGAAGGUUGGGUAACACUAACUGGAGGACCGAACCGACUAAUGUUGAAAAAUUAGCGGAUGACCUGUGGCUGGGGGUGAAAGGCCAAUCAAACCGGGAGAUAGCUGGUUCUCCCCGAAAGCUAUUUAGGUAGCGCCUCGUGAAUUCAUCUCCGGGGGUAGAGCACUGUUUCGGCUAGGGGGCCAUCCCGGCUUACCAACCCGAUGCAAACUGCGAAUACCGGAGAAUGUUAUCACGGGAGACACACGGCGGGUGCUAACGUCCGUCGUGAAGAGGGAAACAACCCAGACCGCCAGCUAAGGUCCCAAAGUCAUGGUUAAGUGGGAAACGAUGUGGGAAGGCCCAGACAGCCAGGAUGUUGGCUUAGAAGCAGCCAUCAUUUAAAGAAAGCGUAAUAGCUCACUGGUCGAGUCGGCCUGCGCGGAAGAUGUAACGGGGCUAAACCAUGCACCGAAGCUGCGGCAGCGACACUGUGUGUUGUUGGGUAGGGGAGCGUUCUGUAAGCCUGUGAAGGUGUGUCGUGAGGCAUGCUGGAGGUAUCAGAAGUGCGAAUGCUGACAUAAGUAACGAUAAAGCGGGUGAAAAGCCCGCUCGCCGGAAGACCAAGGGUUCCUGUCCAACGUUAAUCGGGGCAGGGUGAGUCGACCCCUAAGGCGAGGCCGAAAGGCGUAGUCGAUGGGAAACGGGUUAAUAUUCCCGUACUUGGUGUUACUGCGAAGGGGGGACGGAGAAGGCUAUGUUGGCCGGGCGACGGUUGUCCCGGUUUAAGCGUGUAGGUGUGUGUUCCAGGUAAAUCCGGUUCACUUUAACACUGAGGCGUGACGACGAGGCACUACGGUGCUGAAGCAACAAAUGCCCUGCUUCCAGGAAAAGCCUCUAAGCAUCAGGUAACAUCAAAUCGUACCCCAAACCGACACAGGUGGUCAGGUAGAGAAUACCAAGGCGCUUGAGAGAACUCGGGUGAAGGAACUAGGCAAAAUGGUGCCGUAACUUCGGGAGAAGGCACGCUGACACGUAGGUGAAGUGAUUUACUCAUGGAGCUGAAGUCAGUCGAAGAUACCAGCUGGCUGCAACUGUUUAUUAAAAACACAGCACUGUGCAAACACGAAAGUGGACGUAUACGGUGUGACGCCUGCCCGGUGCCGGAAGGUUAAUUGAUGGGGUCAGCGCAAGCGAAGCUCCUGAUCGAAGCCCCGGUAAACGGCGGCCGUAACUAUAACGGUCCUAAGGUAGCGAAAUUCCUUGUCGGGUAAGUUCCGACCUGCACGAAUGGCGUAAUGAUGGCCAGGCUGUCUCCACCCGAGACUCAGUGAAAUUGAACUCGCUGUGAAGAUGCAGUGUACCCGCGGCAAGACGGAAAGACCCCGUGAACCUUUACUAUAGCUUGACACUGAACAUUGAGCCUUGAUGUGUAGGAUAGGUGGGAGGCUUUGAAGUGUGGACGCCAGUCUGCAUGGAGCCGACCUUGAAAUACCACCCUUUAAUGUUUGAUGUUCUAACGUGGACCCGUUACCCGGGUUGCGGACAGUGUCUGGUGGGUAGUUUGACUGGGGCGGUCUCCUCCUAAAGAGUAACGGAGGAGCACGAAGGUUGGCUAAUCCUGGUCGGACAUCAGGAGGUUAGUGCAAUGGCAUAAGCCAGCUUGACUGCGAGCGUGACGGCGCGAGCAGGUGCGAAAGCAGGUCAUAGUGAUCCGGUGGUUCUGAAUGGAAGGGCCAUCGCUCAACGGAUAAAAGGUACUCCGGGGAUAACAGGCUGAUACCGCCCAAGAGUUCAUAUCGACGGCGGUGUUUGGCACCUCGAUGUCGGCUCAUCACAUCCUGGGGCUGAAGUAGGUCCCAAGGGUAUGGCUGUUCGCCAUUUAAAGUGGUACGCGAGCUGGGUUUAGAACGUCGUGAGACAGUUCGGUCCCUAUCUGCCGUGGGCGCUGGAGAACUGAGGGGGGCUGCUCCUAGUACGAGAGGACCGGAGUGGACGCAUCACUGGUGUUCGGGUUGUCAUGCCAAUGGCACUGCCCGGUAGCUAAAUGCGGAAGAGAUAAGUGCUGAAAGCAUCUAAGCACGAAACUUGCCCCGAG
rnacentral:rRNA from 2 species